rnacentral:misc_RNA from 1 species
AUCACCAACCUGCUCAUCUCGAUCCCUCCAUCAGUAGUCCUCGAAUUCCUGCUCCGGGUCCCCGCCCGGCCGACGACGGAACGGCCCAUCGGUCCUCAUAUGACGCACCCAGCCGUCGAGUGGGUCGCCCUCACCGUCAUACUCGUACAUCGCUCGCACCGCGAGCGUAGGGUCGUCGUAUCAGUAGCCGUCAUCCCAGAAGUUCUCGUCCGGACCGAUCGUGAGGCGAGCCCGACCGAACAGGAGCGGUACGACCAUGACGAUCCUGCCAUUUGGCAAUUCCUUCUGGGCCAAAACG